rnacentral:rRNA from 1 species
GACGAACGCUGGCGGCGUGCCUAAUACAUGCCAGUUGAGCGAUGAAGCUUGGUGCUUGCACCAAUUUGAAGAGCAGCGAACGGGUGAGUAACGCGUGGGGAAUCUGCCUUUGAGCGGGGGACAACAUUUGGAAACGAAUGCUAAUACCGCAUAACAACUUUAAACAUAAGUUUUAAGUUUGAAAGAUGCAAUUGCAUCACUCAAAGAUGAUCCCGCGUUGUAUUAGCUAGUUGGUGAGGUAAAGGCUCACCAAGGCGAUGAUACAUAGCCGACCUGAGAGGGUGAUCGGCCACAUUGGGACUGAGACACGGCCCAAACUCCUACGGGAGGCAGCAGUAGGGAAUCUUCGGCAAUGGGCGAAAGUCUGACCGAGCAACGCCGCGUGAGUGAAGAAGGUUUUCGGAUCGUAAAACUCUGUUGGUAGAGAAGAACGUUGGUGAGAGUGGAAAGCUCGUCAAGUGACGGUAACUACCCAGAAAGGGACGGCUAACUACGUG